GGUAACGUGCCCGAGUGGUCGAAGGGGUCAGAUUUAAACUCUGAUGACGCAAGUCCGACACAGGUUCGAAUCCUGUCGUUAUCA
rnacentral:tRNA from 1 species